UUAUCUUCUUUUCCAAUUUUUCAUUUGCGUCUUAAAGACCGCUUGUUGGCUACUUGAUUGAUAAUGUUCAUAACAAUGUUUUAUCAUGCUUUUGAAAUGUUCAAUUCAAUUUUUUUUUAUAACGCGCUUAAUACCGACCGUAUCCGGGAUUUGAUCCUCUGUUGCUCUGGUUGGACUUGCUUCCAAGACCAGCGCGUUGCCCCUGUGCUAUCCUCGUGUUUACAUUAUAAAGCACUUAAGCACACAGCACUAUAUUAAUGAAAUAAAACACAAAAUGGGUGUGUGUGUAUAUAUAUCAGUGAUGUCAUCUCAAUCAGCAAUAGGAAUCAGUACAUAUCUGACACUAGAGCCUUUGCUGGCUUCCAGUAUCACAAAGAGUCACACUCAAAACACUUGCUCUGAUGCACAAAUGCCUCGCCAACCAAGCACCUAACUACCUGGCCUGCCGAUUUGCUUACCACACCUACAAUCGACCACUCAGAACCACCCAGGCAAACUGUCUCUCCAUACUUCGCUACAAGCUGCGGAAAUCAGGUGGGGCGAGCUUCCCUGUCAGCGCCGUUUAACUUUGGAACUCACUACCUAACCCUCUGAGAGCUGAACCCUCGCUCCACGCCUUUAAGAGUAAGGCCAAAGUAUGGCUGACUGCCCAGUACCUUUCCCAGCACUAACCAGCCCGCUAGCGACCUCCCCGUUCUCACUGUCUCAACUUGUUGAGCAGCUUGUGUAUAUAAAUACCUUGUAAAUUACCUGUAUUCCUAUUAACCUAUAUAUAGUCUGUGCCUGGUGAUCUGCCUUGCUUAUUUUUACCCUUUGUUAUGCCUGUUCUUCUUACACUCUGUAUGUCCCUGUAUGCUAUCUCAUGUCACCCUCUCAUGUAACCUACAAUAUGUGCCCGGAUGUCCCAGGGCCAGGUGUGCUAUAUAAAUACAUAAAAUACAAAUACAAAUCCGAGAUGUCAUCAUUGUGGUCAUAGACUGUGCAACAGGGGGGCAAAUGUUUAGGAGUCUUUAGCUAAAUUUCAGGGGUUUGUGCUGUAGCUGAAUUUCAGGGGUUUUGUUGCGAUAAGUUUUCACUUUAACGUCGCUGGAACUGCAGUUUUUUCGUUUGAAUUUCAAAGGUUUUUUACAACAUAUUACUCACCUUACUGCCCCUGCAAAUAACGUUUUUUCCUUGAAUUUCAAGGGUUUUGUUAUUGCAUAGAUUUUUUAAAUACUAGUGUGCCCACUGUCCAUUUUAAAAUACUACCAGACACUAGUCAUGGCCUUUGGCCAUGGCCGGUGGGCACAACCACUCUAUAUUUUAAAACACUUACAACCCAUCGCACAAAGACGUUCACCAAUCACAAACUGAUUUUGACCUAUUUGACAGUGGCAUUGUUAUGUAUAAAAGAUUCCAGACUUGGAGAACUCACAAUGUUUUAGGCAAUGUGCAUUGAGAUUAAAUAAUUUGCCAUGGGCCACACACUUUGCUUAAGCAGGAUGCUCCCAGCCCCUUGUUUUAUGGCCAAUCGCUUGGUGACUGCUGUGAUGCAUCGCACAACCCCAAAUAAAUGCUUUUCAGCAGCAUGGAAAAGGGAAAAAAUAACCUGCUGCAAGAAUAACAUAUGGCCAUGUACUUUGCCCCCAUAGUGAAAAUCAAAAGCUUGUACCCAUAAAUGUAUGCACAGUAAGUGAACAAAUAUGUUAGAGUAAAUUAUUCAAAUGUAGUUCAUUUGACGUUUCCAUUAAAAGAAAGUGAACAAGACAAAUUAGCAUUGGACUUUAAAAAAAAGUAUAAUAACCUAAGAGAGGAAAUGUUCCAAUAAAUAUGCUGGCAAAGUAUAAAAGCUGCUCACCAUUUAAUUAAAACAAAGCAUCGCAAAGGCCCGCAGUGGGUGUUGACGCGAUGUGAUUUCUGCCCAGCGCUCUGAAUGUCAAAGUGAAGAAAUUCAAUGAAGCGUGGGUAAACGGCAGGAGUAACUAUGACUCUCUUAAGGUAGCCAAAUGCCUCGUGAUAUAAUUAGUGACGCACAUGAAUGGAUGAACGAGAGUCCCACUGUCCCUACCUACCAUCUAGCGAAACCACAGCCAAGGGAACAGGCUUGACAGAAUCAGCAGGGAAAGAAGGUCCAGCGGUGUGUGACUCCAGUUUGGCACUGUGAAGAGACAUGAGAGGUGUAGGAUAAGUGGGAGGCCCUCACGCUGCCGGUGAAAUACCACUACUCUUAUUAUUUUUUCACUUACCAAGUGAGGUGGGGGGGAGCACCGUGGGGCUCUCGCUUCAGGCUCCAAGUGCCCGGCAUCCGCCGGGUGCAACCCGCUCCGGGGACGUUGGCAGAUGGGGAGUUUGACUGGGACGGUACACCUGUCAAAGGAUAAUGCAGGUGUCCUAAGGCAAGCCCAGGGAGGACAGAAACCUUGCACGGAGCAGAAGUGCAAAAGCUCUCUUGAUCUCGAUUUUCAGUAUGAAUACAGACCGUGUCAGAAAAGUUACCACAGGGAUAACUGGCUUGUGGCGGCCAAACGUUCAUAGCAACGUCGCUGUUUGAUCCUUCGAUGUCAGAUCUUCCAAUCAUUGUGAAGCAGAAUUCACCAAGCGUUGGAUUGUUCACCCACUAAUAGGGAACGUGAGAUGGGUUUAGACCGUCGUGAGACAGGUUAGUAUUACCAUACUGAUGAUGUGUUGUUGCAAUAGUAAUCCUGCUCAGUAUGAGAGGAACCGCAGAUUCAAACAUUUGCUGUAUGUGCUUGGCUGAGGAGCCAAUGGGGCGAAGCUACCAUCUGUGGGAUUAUGACUGAAUGCCUCUAAGUUAAACUUAACGUUACCGCAGCACUGUGGAGCCUUGGUUGGCCUAGGAUAGCCGGCAUCUGUGCUGGUGAAUAGAGAGCUGCUCAAUUCAGGACUCGAGUGUGGACAGAAGAGGGCCACCUCUCUUGCCCGUAGUACACUGCAUGUUCAUGGGCAAGCUGGUGCUAACUCAUUCGUAGACGACCUGAUUCUGGGUCCGGGAUCCAUAAGUAGCAGAGCGGCUACCUCGCUGCGAUCUAUUGAAAGUCAUCCUCUGACCCAA
rnacentral:rRNA from 1 species